UUUAUGUGUCAUGUUGACAAGGCCAUGGGUACCCAGUUAUGUGGUUAAACAUUAUUCUAGCCAUUUCUGUGAGGGGUUUUCUGAAUGAGAUUAACAUUUGAACCUGUGGACUGAGUAAAGCAGAGUGCCCUUGCUGAUGGGGUGGGCCUCAUCCAAUCCAUUGAGGAAGUGAAUAAAAUAAAGAGGCUGAGAAAGGGAAAAUUUGCUCUCUCUAUCUUGGAGCUGGACCACUGGUCUUCUUUUGCCCUCAGACUUGAACUUGGACUGGAACUUACACCAUCAGCUCUCCUGAUUCUCAGGCCUUUGGACUCAGUCUGGAACUCUACCAUCAGCUCUCCUGAUUCUCAGGCCUUUGGACUCAGUCUGGAACUCUACCAUCAGCUCUCCUGGGUCUCUUGCUGAAUACAGAUCUUGGGACUUCUCAGCCUUUGUAACUAUGAGGACCUGGGAGGACCGCAUUUUCUGGGAGAAGCCCUGGAAUACAAGAUUUGAUAUACUUAAAGGGAGCUCACAUUCCCAUCAACCUGGAGCAACUCACCUGGGAAUGUCUGAGUUGGCCUCAAAGUCUCAGCCAAAUUCGGACCUGUCUAAGGAAUGUGGAAGCUGAAACCACCUUCACCUGGAUCUUUGCCCCGUGGCAACAUCCUUGCCCUGUGAAUUGCUGCCUACAUAUAUGGAAGUUGAAGAGAGGAGACAUGUUUUAGCCAAACAGAUAACAUAAAUGAUUUUUAUUAUGGAAUUAAAUAAUUAUGUAGAUAUAUUAGAGCAAAGUUAUUUUAUCUGGAUUGUAUUUUGGCCUAUGUGUCCUAUUCAACAACAAUCUUUUUAAAAAAAUUUACAUCCUCCUGCA
rnacentral:lncRNA from 1 species